UACGGGGGGUCCAAGCGUUGUUCGGAAUCACUGGGCGUAAAGCGCAUGUAGGUGGCUUUUCAAGUCAACUGUGAAAGCCCAGGGCCUAACCCUGGAAGUGCAGUUGAUACUGCUAAGCUUGAGUACGAGAGAGGAUAGUGGAAUUUCUGGUGUAGUGGUGAAAUACGUAGAUAUCAGAAGGAACAUCGGUGGCGAAGGCGGCUAUCUGGCUCGAUACUGACACUGAGAUGCGAAAGCGUGGGGAUCAAAC
rnacentral:rRNA from 1 species